rnacentral:tRNA from 1 species
UCCCAGCUGGCUCAGCGGUAAAGCAUCUGCCUGCCAAGCAGGAGAUGCAGGUUCGAUCCCUGGGCCAGGAA